rnacentral:rRNA from 1 species
UACGGGGGAGCAAGCGUUGUUCGGAUUUACUGGGCGUAAAGGGCGCGUAGGCGGCCACCGGCAAGUCGGUUGUGAAAUCUCUGGGCUUAACCCAGAAAGGUCAACCGAUACUGCGGGGCUAGAGUGCAGAAGGGGCAACUGGGAAUUCUCGGUGUAGCGGUGAAAAUGCGUAGAUAUCGAGAGGAACACCUGCGGCGAAGGCGGGUGCUGGGCUGACACUGACGCUGAAGCGCGAAAGCUAGGGGAGCGAACGGG